AUUGAACGCUGGCGGCAUGCCUUACACAUGCAAGUCGAACGGCAGCGCGGGGCAACCUGGCGGCGAGUGGCGAACGGGUGAGUAAUAUAUCGGAACAUACCCUAGAGUGGGGGAUAACGUAGCGAAAGUUACGCUAAUACCGCAUACGAUCUAAGGAUGAAAGUGGGGGAUGCGCUUGCGCACCUCAUGCUCCUGGAGCGGCCGAUAUCUGAUUAGCUAGUUGGUAGGGUAAAGCCUACCAAGGCAUCGAUCAGUAGCUGGUCUGAGAGGACGACCAGCCACACUGGAACUGAGACACGGUCCAGACUCCUACGGGAGGCAGCAGUGGGGAAUUUUGGACAAUGGGCGCAAGCCUGAUCCAGCAAUGCCGCGUGAGUGAAGAAGG
rnacentral:rRNA from 1 species